rnacentral:rRNA from 1 species
UACGUAGGGUGCAAGCGUUGUCCGGAAUUAUUGGGCGUAAAGAGCUCGUAGGCGGUUUGUCGCGUCUGCUGUGAAAACCCGAGGCUCAACCUCGGGCCUGCAGUGGGUACGGGCAGACUAGAGUGCGGUAGGGGAGAUUGGAAUUCCUGGUGUAGCGGUGGAAUGCGCAGAUAUCAGGAGGAACACCAGUGGCGAAGGCGGCUCUCUGGACAGAUACUGACGCUGAGGCGCGAAAGCGUGGGAAGCAAACAGG